rnacentral:miRNA from 1 species
CUCUGACUACGUAAAACAAAUAAGGAGUAUAGGGUAGCCGUAACGGCUACCCUAUACUCCUUAUUUGUUUUACGUAGUCAUUA